rnacentral:rRNA from 1 species
GGUGGUGCAUGGCUGUCGUCAGCUCGUGUCGUGAGAUGUUGGGUUAAGUCCCGCAACGAGCGCAACCCUUGUUCUGUGUUGCCAGCAUGCCCUUCGGAGUGAUGGGGACUCACAGGAGACUGCCGGGGUCAACUCGGACCCAGGUUUCCACCAAGUCCACCCCGUUUGUCUCUUGUGAUUCCCAAUCACACGAAAGGCAGGGGGCAACAUAAAACAGGGGUUGUGCUUGUUGCGGGAAUAAAACAAAAAUCUCAAGACAAUAACUUAAGACAGCCACGCACCACCUGCCACCCGACC